rnacentral:misc_RNA from 1 species
GAUGAAGAACGAAGCGAAAUGCGAUAAGUAAUGUGAAUUGCAGAAUUCAGUGAAUCAUCGAAUCUUUGAACGCACCUUGCGCCCUUUGGCUAUUCCGAAGGGCAUGCCUGUUUGAGUAUCAUGAACACCUCAACUCUCAUGGAUUGCCAUGAAGAGCUUGGACUAUGGGGGUCUUGCUGGCCUGUGGUCGGCUCCUCUCAAAUGAAUCAGCUUGCCGGUGUUUGGUGGCGUCACAGGUGUGAUAACUAUCUACGCUUGUGGUGUUUUCCACCAGGUAACCUUGAGCAAUGGAGGUUCGCUGGGGCUCAUAAAAGUCUCUCCUCGGUGAGGACAGCUCUUUUUGAACGUUUGAUCUCAAAUCAGGUAGGACUACCCGCUGAACUUAAGCAUAUCAAUAAGCGGAGGA